UGGAAAUGGCGGGUGCUAUACAUGCAGUCGAGCGGACAGAAGGGAGCUUGCUCCCGGAUGUUAGCGGCGGACGGGUGAGUAACACGUGGGUAACCUGCCUGUAAGACUGGGAUAACUCCGGGAAACCGGAGCUAAUACCGGAUAGUUCCUUGAACCGCAUGGUUCAAGGAUGAAAGACGGUUUCGGCUGUCACUUACAGAUGGACCCGCGGCGCAUUAGCUAGUUGGUGAGGUAACGGCUCACCAAGGCGACGAUGCGUAGCCGACCUGAGAGGGUGAUCGGCCACACUGGGACUGAGACACGGCCCAGACUCCUACGGGAGGCAGCAGUAGGGAAUCUUCCGCAAUGGACGAAAGUCUGACGGAGCAACGCCGCGUGAGUGAUGAAGGUUUUCGGAUCGUAAAGCUCUGUUGUUAGGGAAGAACAAGUGCAAGAGUAACUGCUUGCACCUUGACGGUACCUAACCAGAAAGCCACGGCUAACUACGUGCCAGCAGCCGCGGUAAUACGUAGGUGGCAAGCGUUGUCCGGAAUUAUUGGGCGUAAAGGGCUCGCAGGCGGUUUCUUAAGUCUGAUGUGAAAGCCCCCGGCUCAACCGGGGAGGGUCAUUGGAAACUGGGAAACUUGAGUGCAGAAGAGGAGAGUGGAAUUCCACGUGUAGCGGUGAAAUGCGUAGAGAUGUGGAGGAACACCAGUGGCGAAGGCGACUCUCUGGUCUGUAACUGACGCUGAGGAGCGAAAGCGUGGGGAGCGAACAGGAUUAGAUACCCUGGUAGUCCACGCCGUAAACGAUGAGUGCUAAGUGUUAGGGGGUUUCCGCCCCUUAGUGCUGCAGCUAACGCAUUAAGCACUCCGCCUGGGGAGUACGGUCGCAAGACUGAAACUCAAAGGAAUUGACGGGGGGCCCGCACAAGCGGUGGGAGCAUGUGGGUUAAAUUCCAAAGCAACGCGAAAAAACCUUACCAGGGUCUUGGACAUCCUUCUGAACAACCCUAAAAGAUA
rnacentral:rRNA from 2 species